UGUAUUAGAUCUCUCAGUCUCUCUCUUAAAGGAGCCGCAAGAAGGACGAUGUGAUCGACAUCGCCAAGAUCAUGAUGCACAACUCCAUGGCCAAGCGUUGCGGUGGGGUGUCCUAUGGAGGAAGAGCUGUGACAAGAGUGACUGGAGAUCUAUGGGAGCUGGUCUCUCUCUUUUGUUUUUGAGCUUACUCCCAGCAUGGCUAAGUUUUGUUUCCUUUCGAUCAUUGAUCAGGCCUUCCAGUUUUGUUCUUUUGGAUUUCUUUAGAUUUUCCUUCAUCACAGCUGGCUUGGUCAUCUGGGUGUUCGUUGCUCCUCAAACAAUCUGAAGCUAAUUGUCUUCUGAGAGAUCUCCACAGCUUGCAUCUGCUAACUCUCUCAGACAACUAGCUCGGACCGGGUGAUCUCUUUAGCUUCGAUGGAUCGCUGAGCGUUGAAUCUCAGCUUCAACACGCUCACUGGUCCGAUCCAGGAAUUUGGAAAGCAUCGAUCACUCGUUAAUUGGUGAAAUGUCUACGUGUUCUUCGUAUCAAAGGCAACAACAUCUCCGGUACGUCGCCCGGGAAUUGCUCGCAGCUCGUGGAGAAGUCUCAUCGAGAACCGGCAAGCUGCGACAACUCAGGUAGGCAACGCCAGGAUCGCUAAGCGACUGUUCUAGCAUCUCGGGGGAGCUCCUAGUCUCGGAGAACAUUUUGGUGGGAAGGAUUCCAGAGAAGGUGAAGCUGUGCUCUGCUCUACCUCUGGGGAAACAGGCUGACGGGUUCUGCUUUGUCCAACUGCAUGGAGCUUGUCCAGCUUCUACUCGAUGGUAGACAGGACCUUCCUGGGGAACAGGUUGACGAUCCUGAGUAUUCACUCCAAUAUGAUCUCGCGUGCGAUUCCAGAAUCGGUGGCAAACUGUUCCUCACCAUACGCUGUGGACGAGAAUCGCCUAUCCGGAAGCAUACCCCGAUCUGUCAAAGGUAGCGCUCGAGGAAAACCAGCUUAGCGGCUGGACCCCGGAGGAGAUUGUGCCGAGGACCAGCUCCGCGACAUAGGCCUUUUGCAGAGUUGUCGCUAGUCGAACUGACUUGAAGGAUUCCUCCGCAACUAGGCCGCUCUACAGGCUGGUGGAGCACUACUACUGCAUGGUGGACGCUCUCGGCCGCGCAAACGAGCUGGGGGAUGGUGGAGAUGCCUGGGCGCUUGCAAGUAGUGCAAGAACGACAGAACAUAUGUUGGCGGUGUCAGGAAUCGAACCCGAAAUUACACAGUGACAAGCAACUAACACUUUUCAGUCGAACAGGUUCUUUUCAACUUGGGGUCAAAUAAAUUUGGAACAAAUAUGCAUUUCUGAAAACUUUAUUUGGCUUCAUCCAGGUUCGAACUGGAGACCUUCAGUGUGUUAAACUGACGUGAUGACCAACUACACCAUGAAACCAUCAUUGAAAGUAAAUCAUGAUUAACCUAGUACAUGUGACAUGGACUUCCUACUCUUCCGGCAAAGAUUGUGUAAAUGUACGUGCUUGAUCUGAGCUUUGCCGCCAACAAUGGCUACAAUCUCAUCAGCUUCAAUAUAGCCAACUUUCUGGUCGACUGGAUCUCCUAAACGUCGGAUCAUCUGCCACCCGAGCUCUCUACAAGAUGAUGGAGCUCACAACAUCGUCCUGGUCACCAAGGGGAGCAUCGAAGCUGCGAGAAAUUAUCUGACAAGACAAGAGGCCUUGUGAGGGGCAUUAGGGCAGAAGAGUUGCAGCAAUGCCUCGCAGGUAGGUGUUCGUGGUGAGGUAGGCGCAGCGCCGUGUCAAAGAUCGGUCUCCAUCGCCAAGGAGACGGGAAGAGUUUGCGCAUAGAAACGAGCCCCAGAAGGACCGCAAGAAGGUGAAGCUGGAUGACGUGAUCGACAUCCCUAAGAUCAUAGGAGUUCAAGAGGAUUGUCAAGGAGAUCUUGGGGAUGGGCGUCGCGGUGGGGUGUACUGUGGAUGGAAAGAGCCCGAGCGAGGUGGAGAUCCCUGAGCUCUUUUUUUCUUUUGACCUUGGCUUUGGUUUUUCCUUUCGAUCUGUGGUUCAGUUCCACCGACCAACUCAGUCUCCGAACGCGGUCGCAAAGUCGAAAAGACUUUCCGUGAGUCUUUUUGUCUUUCUUCCCCACUAUCGCAUCUGCUGGUCAGGACUCAGGUUGGUCUUGUUUCACUCUGGGAUAGAAAUGAAGCUUGUGGCGAUGGAGGUGGAGGUGAUCACUCUGCUUUUCAUCGCCUUCGCACAUUUCGCGUGCUGCUAUGGUUUGAAUUUGCAACAGCAGAACAGGAAAGCGUUGGAAACAGACGAAGCUCUCGUCCUUCUGUCUUUCAAGCGAGCCUUGUCGCUUCAAGUUGACACACUUCCGGACUGGGACGAGGCAAACCGCCAGAGUUUCUGCUCGUGGACGGGUGUUCGUUGCUCCUCAAACAACACAGUGACGGGGAUUCAUCUCGGAAGUAAGAACUUUUCUGGCUCCUUGUCUCCUCUUCUGGGAGAUCUCCAUAGCUUGCAGCAGCUAAAUCUCUCGGACAACUCUCUCAGUGGAAACAUACCGGGUGAGCUCUUUAGCCUUGAUGGAUCGCUGACAGCGUUGAAUCUCAGCUUCAACACUCUCACUGGUCCGAUCCCGUCCACCAUCUACGCCUCCAGGAAUUUGGAAAGCAUCGACCUCUCCCGCAACUCGUUAACCGGUGGAGUACCUGUGGACCUCGGGCUCCUCGGCCGGCUGCGUGUUCUUCGUCUCGAAGGCAACAACAUCACCGGCAGUGUUCCUGCGUCGCUUGGCAAUUGCUCGCAGCUCGUGGAGCUAAGUCUCAUCGAGAACCAGCUCGAUGGUGAGAUCCCGGAAGAACUCGGCAAGCUGCGACAGCUCAGGUACCUCCGGCUCUACAGAAACAAGCUGACAGGCAACGUUCCAGGAUCACUGAGCAACUGUUCUGGCAUCGAGGAGCUCCUCGUCUCUGAGAACUUUUUGGUGGGAAGGAUUCCAGAAAGUUAUGGCUUGCUCUCGAAGGUGAAGCUGCUCUACCUCUGGGGAAACAGGCUGAC
rnacentral:lncRNA from 1 species